rnacentral:rRNA from 1 species
CCCGUCGAGCGGCAGCACGGGUACUUGUACCUGGUGGCGAGCGGCGGACGGGUGAGUAAUGCCUANGAAUCUGCCUGGUAGUGGGGGAUAACGUUCGGAAACGAACGCUAAUACCGCAUACGUCCUACGGGAGAAAGCAGGGGACCUUCGGGCCUUGCGCUAUCAGAUGAGCCUAGGUCGGAUUAGCUAGUUGGUGAGGUAAUGGCUCACCAAGGCGACGAUCCGUAACUGGUCUGAGAGGAUGAUCAGUCACACUGGAACUGAGACACGGUCCAGACUCCUACGGGAGGCAGCAGUGGGGAAUAUUGGACAAUGGGCGAAAGCCUGAUCCAGCCAUGCCGCGUGUGUGAAGAAGGUCUUCGGAUUGUAAAGCACUUUAAGUUGGGAGGAAGGGCAGUUACCUAAUACGUAAUUGUUUUGACGUUACCGACAGAAUAAGCACCGGCUAACUCUGUGCCAGCAGCCGCGGUAAUACANAGGGUGCAAGCGUUAAUCGGAAUUACUGGGCGUAAAGCGCGCGUAGGUGGUUCGUUAAGUUGGAUGUGAAAUCCCCGGGCUCAACCUGGGAACUGCAUUCAAAACUGUCGAGCUANAGUAUGGUAGAGGGUGGUGGAAUUUCCUGUGUAGCGGUGAAAUGCGUANAUUUAGGAAGGAACACCANUGGCGAAGGCGACCACCCUGGACUGAUACUUGACACUGAGGUGGCGAAAGC